CCUACGGGUGGCAGCAGUGAGGAAUAUUGGUCAAUGGGCGGAAGCCUGAACCAGCCAAGUCGCGUGAGGGAUUAAGGCCCUGCGGGUCGUAAACCUCUUUUGCCGGGGAGCAGAGGUCCGGACGUGUCCGGGCCGGGAGAGUACCCGGAGAAAAAGCAUCGGCUAACUCCGUGCCAGCAGCCGCGGUAAUACGGAGGAUGCGAGCGUUCUCCGGAUUUAUUGGGUUUAAAGGGAGCGUAGGUGGAUUGUUAAGUCAGUUGUGAAAGUUUACGGCUCAACCGUAAAAUUGCAGUUGAAACUGGCAGUCUUGAGUACAGUAGAGGUGGGCGGAAUUCGUGGUGUAGCGGUGAAAUGCUUAGAUAUCACGAAGAACUCCGAUUGCGAAGGCAGCUCACUGGACUGCAACUGACACUGAUGCUCGAAAGUGUGGGUAUCAAACAGGAUUAGAUACCCGUGUAGUC
rnacentral:rRNA from 1 species